rnacentral:lncRNA from 1 species
GCCUCAACUUUGAUACCACUUGUAAGACCUCAGGCGCUACCAACUCUCCUAAAAGAAAUUGCUGUUAAGAAAUGUGCAUACCCUAACCUUAUAUUGCAUUCACCCAAGAGUCCAUUACGAACACAUGAGGAGUUGAUGGACGCGACCAACCCUCCGAUCUGCCAAUAGAAACCUAUCCACAUUCAACACAGCUCAAUACACAAUCCUCGAGUUGAAUCUCUCGAUGAAAAUCAUUGCCUUUUUUUAUGAAUGCCUGUCCAAAAUGGUGUAUAUUGAUUCCAAGUUUGCUAUAUCAAAGUAGUAAGCAUUGAUGUCACUUAUAUUUGUUGAAGCGUGAUAUCCUUAGCUAUAAUAGUUGCCUUUAUACACUAUAUAUACCAUCUAGCCAAGUAACAUUAUUUGGCAACUAUAAUACAACAUAGGUACACUUUGAGAAAAUAAAAAAAUUCUAGAAAGGAAAAAAAAAAAAACAGCUAAUAAGAAGAAGAACAAGAAUCUUACUAUAUCAUCUAUGAUACCAAACAGUUAGCCAACUAGUUUUUCCCUAAUGCUCUAGUAAAACAUUUGUAUUAAGGAAAUAAUCCCAAAUUACAAAAGACCACCUUUUGUAGGAGUCUUUUUUGUGAUUUAAAAGGAACUUUUGAUGUAUGAUGCUUUAAAUCCUCUUUGAUUGUCUUUUCAUCCUUAUCUUAUAACUCAAAAAGAGAGAGAUUUAGGACUAGGUAUGAAGGAAUGUUUGGGUACUUUAUAAUUGUCGGUGGGUGUAAUCUUAUUGGUUGAAAUGAAGAAUGACUUUUUGCUAAGUGAUGAAUUUACCUUUUGCUAUCUUUCUAAAAACCACUUAAAGAAAAUUUGAGAUAAUAAAAGGCUCUUGAACUCAAGAGAAUACCACAUGGUAGAUGAUGACCAAAACCAAUUCCUAAAUCUAAGGCCUCUAAAUCGCCUUAAAAAGCAUAUGUUCUUUUAAGUAAAAGGUGCAAGAAAGGAUUUAAUUAGGUGAAUAAUCUUUCUUAGUUGAUAAAAAACAAUUUGGGGAAAGGUACCAUACAGUAUAUAAGGGACCCACUGUUGUUGGCUCAUAUGUUCAAAACAAUUUCAACCUCUUAAUAGGAGAAGAUACUUUUUUACCUUCCUAAUCCUUAUCAACAUUUGGCAACUGAAAGACAAUUUUUUUUCACCCUUGCAUUGAGGGCUAAGUAUUAGUUUCUUAACUUAUGAAGUUUUAUUUAUAUUGUUGCCUAUAAAGAGAUAAAAAAGAAGAAUAGAAAAAAAAACCUUUUAAAAUAUUAAGAAGAUAAGGCUCUCAAGUAGACAAGAACAAAAAUAGUGCAAGGUAGAAAAUAGAAAAAAGAAAAGACAAGUUUUAAUUACAACACCCUUGUUUUUUUCAAAGAAAAAAAAUAAUUGAAGGUACCACGAGGUAACUAUUAGUGACAACAAAAUUAAAAACUUUUAUUGCAUAUAGAACUCCAAGAAAUAUAGAAAAUGAGGAAAUUGUGGACAUGUAAGACCUCUCUGGCCAUGUGGAACCUUAUAAAUUAAAGUGACAAUUAUAAGAAGCUUAAUGACAAACUAGUAGAUGUAGAGGGUUAAAUUCAAAAAUCAUAAAAAAAAAAACAUUUAAUAUUUACAUGCCACCACUAGAUGACUCCUACCUCCAUCCUUACUUUAGUAAAGGUUUUUGGUGCUCAAUAGCAAAGAUACCCAAAAAACCAUCCUAUAUUGAAAAAUUACCAACCACAUAAUUAGUAAGUUUUAUAAAAGCCUAUAAUUGCUCAAGAAAUAUGAGUAAUUAACCUUUUUUUGAGAAUUUUUUUCAAGCUUCAAUUUUGGAGUUAGGCAAAAAGAGAUAUAAAUCACAAUGAACUAAUUCAACUUAGCUUAAUCAUCUUCUAUUAGAUAGGAAUAACUUUCUUAAAUUAGAUUGAGUUGAAGUUAAAUAAUUUUUUUAAAUAGUGAGAAAAUAAAUUAUAUCCUAGUUACUUGAUAUUUUCUAAUUUUUAAUGUGUUUAUUAAGAAUUUGUAGAAAACUGUUUAAAUAGUUCAUUUGUAGAAAAAUGUGCUAAUAUCAUCCACGUUUUUGGUUUUUCUUGCAUGAAAUCCAAUAAAUAAAGAAAUAAUGAGGAAAAAUUCAUGAUGUACAAAGGCACCUACUUUCUUGAUCAUGGUAAGAACUUUCCUUACCACCAUGGUUUGCUACCUUAGGGUCCUUUGGUCUUGUCUACCAUACUCUUCUAAUGCAUUUAUCCCUCUGAAUAGGCUGGUUGGUAGGGAUAUGAUAUCAGUUUGGGCUUUCAGGUACAUGUGUCUAUGAUCCUAAGUGUAAUAGAAAUGAUAAAAAUCAAAACUUUGCUCUCAUAGGGUGUGUUAGAAAUCAUAAUUGGGGUUUGAUUGUUUCCAACCCAUAUCCUUUCAUAGAAAAGAUCUUAAAAUUUGUCAAUCUUCCACCUAAUGGCCCAUUUUUUGGUCCUUAGCACAUGUGUAAAGUGGUUACAUAUCUUGAGAAAAGAGAGAAGAGGAGACUAGGUAUCUAGAAAACUAAUAGUCUGAAAAGUUAAGAGUCUAAUCCUAAAAUUAGUGGGGUUUAUAUAAAAUCUUCUAUGAGCUUAAGUGAUUUUGAUCCAACUUAGGCUUGGGUCACUUAAUCUAACUCAAUGGGUCAUAAUUAGUUAGUUAACCCUAAUGAGUUCUAAUUAAUUAAUUAGCCUAAUAAAAAAUCAAAAUUAAUUAAUCAUAAAAUUUUGUGCAACCUUGCACUUUUACCAAAGUAUUUUCCUAUACAUAAAUGAUUAAUUCUUUAUAAAUCCUUAAAACCUUUGUGCCAACAAAGAAUAUGAGUUCAAGUGGGGACUAUUGGGAACCAUAUGAAAAUAUUGACUCCCUCAUGAUCUAAUUAGAAAGUUGAAUCAACAUUCCACUAAAAAGAUUUAACUACACUCUAAUAUCCCAUAUCAUCAAGAUAAAAAUUGAUUAAAUCUAAUUUAAUUGAUUCCUUCGAUCCAUGAUAAAACCAUUCAUUGCAUGUAAAUUCCUCAUGAACUAGUGUCCAUAAUGUAAUGAGGUAGAUGCUAUUAACAUCUCAAGAUUACUUCUAUAAUCCUUAAGCCUCAAAUUCUUAUAUUAUGUGAUCAACAAAUAUAUUAUAGCAUAUCAAAAGUAUAUGUCAAAUUCCACUAAAGGAAUUACUACAAUACCACAAAUUUUAUGAUCACCAAUCCUUAGAAUCACCCAAGGGACAUAAUGUCUUAAACCCAUGUGAUAUCGUUGUAUCUAUUUUGAUAAUACCUAUUGUUACUCAUCUUAAUCAAUAAUGACCCAAUCUAUAGGUAAUCUAUGGCCACCUUAGAGUCUCAUCUAUAGGUUAAAGUCAUUGAAGACCUUAAUACUAGCUCAAUAUUCUCUCAAAGUUGAGAAUAUAUGCACCACAGUAGCUUGGUGAAAUUGUGACUAUCCAAUAGUCAAUUUCAUGAUUCAUCAUAGGUUUUAUCCAAUAUGUAACCAUGCACACUAAUGCACUCACUAUGGGAACUCAAUGCCCAAGACUAGUAUCUAUUCAAUGAGGAGAUAGUGCACUACAAUCUUAGAUGGAUUGCCUAAAUCCAUAAAUCAUUUAUAAACAACUCAUCAACUUAUAAGGAACCUAUUACUUAGACCUUAAGUGCAAUUUCUAAUGCACCCAAAUCAUGAAUGAGACAAGUGAAGUAAACUUGAAUGCUUAAAUAAAUCUUAAUUUAAUUAAUGAAUAGAAUAAUAGAAACUCAAGUCUAACUUGUUACAUCAUUUCUUACUUUUAAGGAAUCUAUCCCAACAAUUAUGAUGACCCUUAACUUCCUUACUUCACUUUCUACUUAACAAAUUCUUGUAGUUGCCCUUGCUCCAAGAGGUUUUCCACCAACCUUUUCAAGUGUUGGUCAUCAUUAGUCCAAUGCCUUUUCUUGGUAAUGACUAAAGGCUUGGUACUUAGAAACUUUAGGGAGGGGAAUAAGUUUGACAUAUCCUUCUUCCAUAUUUGUUGCAAAAUCUUUCUAUAAAGCUUGGUGAGAAGCAUUUAUUCUAUCUAAUUAUCUUUCAUGUGUUUUCCUUUCUCUCAAUGUUGCUUCUUAGAAUGGCCAUAUCUCCACUCUCAAUCCCUAUCUCAUCACCCAUGCUUUGUGCCCUCUCUUCUUUUGGCAUAAGGUUCUCCUCCUUCAAUUGAUUUAGAUGUCAUCGUACUUUCGAUGAUAAUGACCUUUGGUGCCAUUACCCUUAGAUCUUCUUCCAACAUGAUGUAGCUCCUAGCCUAAGUGAACAUACUAUCUAGAGAUGUUGGUGACUUCUUGGUGAGUAAAUGAUAAAGUUCGAAUGUAGAAAGGAGUUUAUUCUUGAAAAGAACAAUGGUUGUUGUUUUGCUACACUUGCCUACCUUUUUUAUUUCUUAGGUUGGAUUUUCAAAUUUAAUUUAUCCAACAUUCUAUUCAAGUUUUUGCUAUUUUGAAGAGGGUAUCCAUACCAUUUUUCUUUUUGGUCAGGUGCAUACAAUUACAAUGUCAGUAACACUCCCAAGCUCCAAGAGCAAAAAAAUCUAUUAUGAAGAUAUAUAUGAAAUUAGUCCAUAAUUAAAAGGUAGCAUAUAUUAUAAGUCCACAAUUAUCUUAAAUGCUACCUUUUAAGCUUUGGCAAUUGAUUGUGGACUCAUAGGAUAAUGGUGACCACAGGGUUCAAGCAUUCGUAGGAAGUCUAAGGUGGUAAGAUCCCACAAACAAAUGGAGGAAAAUAAGAUUGAAUUCAAAAUUAUUAGCAAAUACAACUCUAAUUCCACGUGCCACAAAGGAAAGUAUAAAUUUUGAUUCUACAUGAAUACUGGAAUCAUAUAAAAGAGAGGUAAUUUGACACUAAAGAUGAACGUCUGUCCCCAAAGUCUCUACCCACCAAUGUGAUUUGACAAUUGAAUAUUAAAUGCAACAAAGAAAAGGAGAUGCUCUUAGGCUAAAACAACUUUUAUGUUUUUGCAAUACCUUUGUGGUUGUGAUGCCCAACAAAUCUCAUCUUUCACUCUUUUAAAUGGACUUUUCUAAGCUUUUCUUUUGUAAUUUGCUCUUAAAUGCUUUUUAGAGUUUUCAAAUUGCUCAAGUCCCCAAAAGAAAAGUACCCAAAAGUUAUUUGGGAAUCCAUUUACUAUAUGGAGAAGGAAUUCAGGGUGGCUUUAUCGAGCCUAGGAAUUACUUUUUUGUCAUACAUACUCAAGCUGUCUCUCCUCUCUUUUGACCCUUCCAGGAUCACAAAGUACUGUACCACACCCCAUAUCUCUCCCCCCUCAUUGGCAUCUUAUGUAAGCAUAAUGAUGCCAAUCCAUUCUAUAUUCUUGUACGGACCAUUCUUGGUUCAAAAUUCAAUGAAAAGGGUGAAAAAAGUUGUGUCUUGGGUGUUGGAUUGAGCCUUUGGGACCUUUAUUUUCCACAAUGCUAAAGUGCAAUUACAACCCCGGCAUAUUUACCCUUUGCUUUAUAUAUAUAGUUCUAAGAGCUUCAUAUAAAAUUUCGUGAUAAUGCAAUUUUGUAUGAUUGUGGAAUCAUGGCAUAUAUGUUAUUAAAUGAUGAUUACAAUCUCAUCUUUUACCUUGUAUACAUGCACAUGUUUAUAUUUAUGUAUAUGCUUAUUUCAUACACUUUGUCAAAAUAGCUUAUAAUUGAAAAAUAAUCCUAAUAAAACGGACGUACGAAAGCAUUAUUUUAUCUUAUAUAAAAGAUUAUUUUAUGAUGGAUAAAAACUUCUAAUAUUAGUAUUAUUUUUUAAAAAUUAUAAUUUUAGAGCAAGUAAAUACCAAACCAUUGUUGUGAAUAAGAUGCCCUCAUCUUCUAUAUAGAUAAAGUGAUACAGUCAUGGACACAAAACUCUUGUAUUUCUACAUGCAAAUAUUCCCUUUCCUUGUGGUUUUCUAUGUGAAAUUGUAAUUAGCUUUCAAAUGACUUCUUCUCCAUUUGUCCAGUCUUAUCAAACCAAAGACGGAAGUACCAUUUUGUCAACCCAACUUUGGGCAUCAAAUUCACAAGAGCUAACCAAAAAUGUAGACACCAUCUUCAAGUCCCCUCUAUCUGCACUACUAGCAAAAUUUAGGGCUGAACCCCACAUGGAAGCAUGAAGAUGCCCAUGAAGAUGUGGCCCACAUGGGGGCUGGGACUAGAGAUCUGAACCACAUAGUAGGAGCAAGUGGGGUAUGGGCAACCAACAAAGAUGUCUACUAGAACAGACCCACAUGGUGGUAAAGAGUGUGGAAUGGGCUAAGACUAAGGGAGAUUGUUAUGAUGGCAGUCUUAAGGUGAAAAAGGAGUAGAAAUCAAAGAUCACCUUUGAUGGGUAGCCCCCAAGAAUAUCUCCUCUCUCAUGAAAUGAAACCAACCAAAAAAAGAGAGAAAAGUGAAAGCUCCUAACUUAUAUUCUUUGUAACUCCCCACAAGCAAAGACCAUUCACCAAAAAUUCAACCCCAAAAAGAUUCGAUACGGGUUUGAUUGACAUUGGUUUUUCUUGUUAUAGAAUUUCUCAGUCAUAUUUUCACACUAACCCAUCCCUGUUUUUCAAAGAAUUUGGUGGAAAGGACGAAAGAGAGUGUGGACUAUGGAUGUAGCUGGAAACAAACUUCAGGAAAAAAAUUAUUUUUAAUGGGGUUUUUCUCUGACCAAAAAGUGAAGCUUGAUGAAAAUAACUUCCACCAGAUACUCUUUUGAAACAGUCCUAUUUAGCUUUUCAUAACAAAUUUGUUCUACAGUCAAUAUUCUUAAGCAACUUGCAUGAUAAAGCACCCAGUAACAACCGACAAGAAAAAAUUACAUUACACCAAUAGUUUUUUCUUAAUCUGCUUGAAAUUAGAACUCAGUUUAAAUCUGUUGAUGGACAAAUUCUCAUGGAAUAUAUCCUCUGUGAUCAAGGUUUUUCAGGUUGCCUUUUGGGGGGUAUAAACUCUUCUGAACAAGAAGAAAAUCACAUUGUGAACUUGUAUGAGGCAUAAAUUCUAAUUGAAUUUGCUUCAAAAUAAACUAAAACAUGUACCUGCUCAAAUCGCUGCAGAUUGCCUCCUCCCUUAGCUCAGUAUGAGCAUAUGUUCGUCGGGAACUUUGGAUUGGAGUUCUUAGGAGAAAAAGGAAUAAAAACCCAAUUGAGGAAGGAAAGAUCAGACAUGGGAAGGUUGAGAAGUUGAGCCAUUGAUCAAUGAAAAGCAUGAAGGUUUGCCAACAGAAUGGGGCUUACUGCAUAUAGAGAUAGAAGAC